rnacentral:lncRNA from 10 species
CAAUGCCUCACCCUGCUUCGGCUCGCUCAUGGUGCACGCACCCACUGACCUGCGCCCACUGUCUGGCACUCCCUAGUGAGAUGAACCCGGUACCUCAGAUGGAAAUGCAGAAAUCACCUGUCUUCUGCGUCGCUCACGCUGGGAGCUGUAGACCGGAGCUGUUCCUAUUCGGCCAUCUUGGCUCCUCCCCCGGGACAAUUAUUUUCUAUGGAAAUAAAACUAAUUCUUGAGGCAGGAUCUCUCUAUGUUGCCAGAGCUAGCCUUGAACUCCUGGGCUCAAGCAAUCAUCCACCUCUUCCUCCCAAAGUUCUGAAAUUACAGAUGACAAAGAUAAUAUACAGAUUCUAUCAUGGAAAUAAAGCAGAGUUGAUUACCUUUUAGAAAUAUAACAUCAGUGUACUAUUACAUGAAAAAUAUUUGAAACCUAGCGGAGUUCUAAAGAAGAAACUGUCUCUACCAGAAACGUUGCCUGCAGCAGAGAGGAGGAGGAACAAUCCUGAGCUUCUCUUUAGCUUCUGAUGAAGAACGAGGUCACAUCCUUUGCAGGAAUAUGGAUGGAGCUGGAGGCCAUUAUCCAUUGCAAACUAAUGCAGAAACAGAACACUUAAGACCGAAUGUCCUCACUUGUAAGUGGAAGCUAAAUGAGAACACAUGGAUGACAGAAUGGAACAACACACACUAGGGCCUGUCUGAGGGUGGAAGGUGGGAGGAGGAAAAGGAUUAGGAAAAAUAACUAAUGGGUACUAGGCUCAAUAACUGGGUGAUACAAUAAUCUGUACCACAAAUUUCCAUGAGACAAGUUUACCUAUGUAACAAACCUGCACAUACACCCUGGAACUUAAAGUUAAAAUAAUAAAAAUAGUUUAAAAUAUUGGAGAAAAAAAAGCAUGAAAACUUGUUCAUAAUGUUGUUAAGCUUC